rnacentral:rRNA from 1 species
CCUACGGGUGGCAGCAGUGGGGAAUAUUGCACAAUGGGCGCAAGCCUGAUGCAGCCAUGCCGCGCGUAUGAAGAAGGCCUUCGGGUUGUAAAGUACUUUCAGCGAGGAGGAAGGCAUUAAGGUUAAUAACCUUGGUGAUUAACGUUACUCGCAGAAGAAGCACCGGCUAACUCCGUGCCAGCAGCCGCGGUAAUACGGAGGGUGCAAGCGUUAAUCGGAAUUACUGGGCGUAAAGCGCACGCAGGCGGUCUGUCAAGUCGGAUGUGAAAUCCCCGGGCUCAACCUGGGAACUGCAUUCGAAACUGGCAGGCUAGAGUCUCGUAGAGGGGGGUAGAAUUCCAGGUGUAGCGGUGAAAUGCGUAGAGACCUGGAGGAAUACCGGUGGCGAAGGCGGCCCCCUGGACAAAGACUGACGCUCAGGUGCGAAAGCGUGGGGAGCAAACAGGAUUAGAUACCCCAGUAGUC